GCGGUGAUUGGCUGCCGAGCGGCGGGCGUGCGCCGGGCAGUGAUGGCGGGCGGGCGGCGGGCGGUGACGGCGGCGCUGCUGGCGCUGGGCUCGGUGGUGCUGGCGCUGGCGGCCGCCGUGCUGCUCCGCGCCUUCGUCCUGCGAGCCCCGGCCGGGGUUCCGCGGCUCUGGGCACGGAGCGCCGGCACCGCCUCCCUCAGCGCCGGCGAGCGGCGGGAGCUCAAGGAGGCGCUGCGAGGGGCCAUUAAAAUCCCAACUGUGUCCUGGUCUCCAGAGGAUUUGAAUACAACUGCCAUGGCAGAAUUUGGGAGUUACAUUCAGAAAGUCUUCCCGGCUGUAUUUUCUUCAAAGUUCAUCCAGCAUGAAAUAGUAGGGAAAUACAGCCACCUGCUCACAGUGCAGGGCUCUGCCCCUGGCCUGCUGCCCUACAUGCUGCUGGCACACAUGGAUGUGGUGCCUGCUGCCCCCCAGGGCUGGGAUUUCCCUCCUUUCUCAGCUGCAGAGCACGGAGGUUUCAUCUAUGGACGAGGAACGCUGGAUAACAAAAACUCUGCUGUUGGCAUCCUGCAAGCUCUGGAAUUUCUGCUGAGGAGGAAUUACAGACCCCGCCGCUCGUUCUAUGUUGGCAUUGGCCACGAUGAGGAGGUGUCUGGGCUGAGGGGAGGCAGGAGGAUUGCGGCCCUGCUGGAGGCCAGGGGGGUGAAGCUCUCCUUCGUGCUGGAUGAGGGCAGCGCCGUGCUGGACGGGGUCAUCGCGGGUGUCACCAAGCCUGUGGCAAUGAUUGCUGUCACAGAAAAAGGUUCAAUGACACUGAACUUCACUGUGGAAAAAGAGCCAGGACAUUCAUCCUUCCCUCCUAAGGAGACAAGUAUUGGCAUUCUGGCAGCAGCCAUGUCCAGGCUGGAGCAGAAUCCUCUGCGCAACCUGUUUGGCCACGGCCCAGAGCUCAUGACCAUGGAGCACCUCGCAGCAGAGUUCAGGUUUCCUCUCAACAUCAUCAUGAGCAAUUUGUGGCUGUUCUCACCUAUUGUCAGCAGAGUCCUUGCCUGGAAACCUUCCACCAAUGCCUUGAUCCGAACGACCACUGCAGUCACCCUGUUUAAUGCAGGGAUCAAGGUGAAUGUCAUCCCCUCCUCUGCCAGAGCCACGGCGAACUUCAGGAUCCACUCAGCUGAGACGGCUGCUGAGGUGCUGGAGGCAGUGAGGAACACCAUUGCUGAUGACAGAGUGAAGAUUGAUGUGGUGGAGGCCUUUGACCCCCUGCCCAUCAGCCCGUGGGAUGAGCAGACUUUUGCAGUCCACGUUUUUCAAAGAACCAUCCUGGACACUUUCCCAGAUGUUGACAGUGUAGUCCCAGGCACGUGCAUUGGAAACACGGACAGCAGGCACUUCACCAACAUCACCAAGGCCAUUUACAGGUUCAACCCUGUGCUCCUCAGGCAGGAUGAUCUCCCCAGGAUCCAUGGGCUGAAUGAGAGAAUCUCCAUUGAGAAUUACGAGAGGCAGGUGGAGUUCCUGUUUCAGCUGAUCAAGAACUGUGACAUUGAGACACUUCCAGAGCCCCACGCCAGCUCCCACGAGCUCUGAGAGAGCUGAGGGAAGAGCAGCAGCAGCAGCAGGGUCACCUCCAGCCUUGCAUGGUGUGAGCAGAAUGCCAAGCACAUGAUGAAAACACAGAUUAAUGACUCCUGGAGCUGUUCUUUCUGUGUUGUGGUGAGUCACUGCCUCGAGCAGGGAGAGCAAUUACCUCUGACUCAGAGAAGGAAGGAAGAGCCCGAUUUUCUGCUCUGAAUUCAGGUACCUCACUCAUAUUGACAGCUACGAUUUGAGCUCUGUGUUAGCCCAAUUCCAGUGCGUGUUACAUCCAAAACAACUCCCUUUUUUCCCUGCUUGUCCCCAAAUCUGCAACGCUGAUGUUCUUGUGGCAGCACUGGCUCGGAGUGAGGUGUGUGCAGUUGUCAGGCUGCUGUGGGCCAGCUGAGCUGGGCCUGAGGAAAAGGUCACAUCCCACACCUGCAUUUUCUAAAGAAAGCUCUGUUGCUGGGCCCUCUUGAACAGAACUUGGUUUAUUUUCAGCCCCAAGCGGCCGUGGGGAGUUCAGGCUCAGGCCUGGAGGAACAAGGUGUUUACAGAGUCGUUUCCUCCAGCUCUGCAUUUGACACUUGGAUUCUUGGCUCCUCUUUUGCUGAUCCAUGUGAUGUUCUGUGGAGCUGCUGAAAUCCAUUUUCUCCAGCAGAAAUCAUUGAAUUGUUUCAUGGAGCUCCAAGGGUGUGUGGAUCCCUGAAAAUCCUGCAGGUGCCUGGCGUGAGGAGUCAGCCCUGACCCAAACUCUGUAGUGAGACCCUCCCAGGGCUGAGUCCUGAACCAGUUUUCACCCAGAUUAACCCCAAAGUGACGUGCUGUGAAGAUUUCCCUGGAUCAGUGCUGUGGAUGAGACAUCCACUGAGGAAUCUGGAGGCUGCUCAGCUGUUUUAGAGGAGCUUUUAGAGAGGAGCACUCCUCACCUGCAGCUCAGCCUGUCACCCUGAAUUCUCAGGUUUUCAGUGUUCUUCUCACUGCUGCCUGAACCCUGCACAAAUCCUUGCCAGAUCUAUUAAAUCCUCACUGGCGCUCUGGAACUCUCACAGGAUUUUUAUCCCUUCAGUCCCCAAAUUCAUAGAUAGAAUAGAUCUUCAUAGAACAUACAGUACUUUCCAAGCUCCCUCUACUCCUCUCCAAAUCUCCCAGUUUUUGAAACUGAAGUAGUUAAUCAGUUAGGGAUGCUUAUCUCACUAGUAAAAUUUUUUCAAUACCUUCUCAUAUCAAAUCUUCAAAACCAAUUGUAGGUAAUAGCUUUGCUUCAGCUGUGGCUCCUGAAAUUCCCAUGCCUGUGAAAUAUGCACUCCCUUGAGCACUGCCUAGCUAAAGAAUUGUGGAUUUUAGAAGUCAUGUCAAGGCAGGCUCUGUGUUGAUUUAAAAAUACAACAGAAAGAUUACUGUGAAUGGUUUUAUCUAUGUUCUAUGAAUCAACUCUAUGCUCUUGAAUCAGCCACUCAGGGAUGUGCUGCUGCGAGGUCUCUGUGGCACUAGCAGCUCUGUGCCACCACCCCAGGGCUGCCCAGGGAGGGAAUUUUCCUGUCCCAGCUCGGGGAGGGCUGUGUGACACCGGAGCGGGGGCUCGGCUCGGCUUUCCUGUCCCACAGAGAUAAAGGGCUGUGGUGGGGAAGGGAGGGCCCUGCUCCCUGCAGAUCCCUCUGCUGAUUGCAGAGCUGACCUCAGAGCUGUGGUGGGGGGCCCAGAGGAAGCUGCAGUCACUUCUCAGCAGGAAGGGAAAUGACCACAUGGAAGGGUGGUUAGAGGGGACAAAGGGAAAAUGCUCUUUGGCACUCGGUGAUUUGCCAAGGGCAGGGGGAUUUUACAAGUGACAUUCAAAUCAUGCAGCUUUCCCCAGCGUGCUUUCCGUGCCUCUUUUAAUUUAUGUUUUUAGCCCAGCACAAUGGUGUGGUUUAUUGCAGCCCUGUAAAUACUCAGAUCACCUGAAUAUUUGUGCCUGUCCUUGCACUACAGACAUGAUCCCGUGGAGGGGCCUGGGUCGGAUAUUCUGGAUCUGAUGUCCUUCCACUUGGAUUUUUAAAUGUUGUUACUGCAGGACUGCCUUGUUGUAUGUAAACAUGUUAAUCCAAAGUCCUGUUUGGGAUUUUGGGACAUGAUGGGGUCUUCAUGGAGCAGGAAAUAGGGGGGAAUUAAGAGAUUAUUGUGUAUUUUUUUAUCAUCAAUCUCUGCUCUGGCCAGCCUCGUGGCAUCAGUGUUUUCUUCAGCCCAAUUUUGACUAUAAAUGAAUUCCCUCCCAGCCUAUAAGUGGAACAAAGCUGACAUGUGAGGCACAUCCCCAGUGGCCCCUGACAGGUGUCCCUGUCCCUGCUGUCCCACCGCAUCCGCUGACCUUGUGCAGCACAGGAAGGCCAGGCCCAGGUGCUCUCCCGUGGCCACCAGCCCCAGGAGGGACCUGCCAGGGGCUGCCCUGUGUUUGUCACCGCAGGCCCAGCACGUGGGGGACACAGGAACACAGCUGGGACCUUGGAAAAAAGGAUGGAGAUGGGUUUAUCUGCUUCCAGGCUGGCAGAACAGAACUUCCUGCCUCUGUGUUUCUCCCCCAGCUCAGGGCCAGCUGCUGGCGUUGUCACCUGCCCGUCACCUGCCCUCGUGAGCUGCUUGUGCCCUGCAGGGACAUCUGAAGGGGCGAGUCCUGCUCCAUAACCUGCUCAGAUUUGGUUUCCUGCUUGCAAGGAAUUAAGAAGCCAAAGAUCCUUCAGGAUCCUUGCUGAGGAGCAGCUGGGGCUGCAUUUAGAUCCGUGCCAGGCAGUGAUGGAGCCAGGACAGGGAGCAAAGGCACCUCUCAGGGCACUGCCACUUCUAUCUCGGGAUUUUUGAAGUAGCCAAACCUUUUUAUCCUGCUGGAUUCUGCUGUGAAAUGGGCCCCCGAGUCCAAUCCUGGCACUUCAGCAGGGCCACAGUCACAUGGCAGCUGUAAAACACGUGGGCACGACAUUCCACCAGACAUUCCAUGAUCCAGCACAGCUCAGUGGCCAACUCCUUCCUUUCCAAACAUCUCUGUUGCCUUUGCUACCUGCUCCCUGCAAUUGGAAACCCAAUUUCCUGCCCUUUCAUCCUCUGCUUUUUUGAUCUCAGCCUGGCUGCUGGGGGUUUUAUCUAUUUCUGUUUUCCUGUCUCAGGCAGCUUUUGUCCCCACACUUCCUGAGCCUGCAGCUGGGGAGCAGCGAGGUCACAUUUGGGUGCACGUUGGUUUUUUUGGGGAGGUGAGGGAAGAAUGGAGGCUCCAUCCUGGGGGAGGGAUGGAUUUUCCAAGUCAGGAAGGAAAGGUGAAGGUGGAAGCAGAGCCUUGCAGCCAGGUUUGUUUGGACAGAGAAUGGAGUUGCCUGGAGCUGAGAUGUGCCUCUGGAUGUCUCAGGUUUUCCAUGAGGUUUCUUUGCUGGUGGAUGUCCUGAGAAGGAGCAAAAUGAUCCCAAAGUCUCCUCAUCCCUUGGAAUCCCAGGAUGGUUUGGGUUGAAAGGGACUUUAAACUUGUCUGUUCCACCCCUGCCAUGGGCAGGGACACCAGGCUGGCUCCCAGCCCCAUCCAGCCUGGCCUUGGGCACUGCCAGGGGUCCAGGGGCAGCCCCAGCUGCUCUGGGAUAAAUCCCAGGGAAGGAUUUAUCCCAAAAUCCCAUCCAUCCCUGCCCUCUGGCAGUUUAAAGCCACUGCCUCUUGUCCUGGCACUCUCCACCCCUGUAAAAAGUCCCUGAUCAGUGCUGCUUUCUCUGACCAUCUCCUGUUCUGCUCCACGUGUUCCAGUCACCCUCUUCUCCCAAAGCACCAAACAUUCCAGGAAAACACCCGGCUGUGCCCAGUUCCUGACGGGAGCAGGCAGAAGUGAAGCAGCAGAGCCACAGCUUUGGGUCACAAUUGCUGCCACGACUGCUCCGGUUUCCUUAAGGAAUGAAGUCACCAGCCCCGGGAAUGUCCCCGUGUCCCCGUGGGAAUGUGGCUCCCGUGCUGCCCUCCCCCCUCACCCGUGUCCCAGCCACCGUCAUUGGCCCAGAACUGUCUCCAAGGCCUGGGCUGGGAUCACAUCAUCACCCCGAGCAAUAACUCGCUGCUGGCUGUUUCCUGGGAGGAAAGGAAAGGCAGGAAGGAAAAACAACUGCUCAAAAUUUCCACUCAUGACAAGAAAAAAAAAUAAAAAUAAAGGAAAUAAAAGGAAGGCGUGAAUCAGAGGAGCUGGUUCAUUCAGGAACACAGAAUUCUACAGAGCAGCGAGGACCUGACCUCUGCAGCAGGAGCUUUUAUGCUCUUUAUUUAUUUGUUGUGGGACAGUUUGGCGUAAACAGGGGCAGAGGACGUGACAAUAUUCCUGAGCUUUUGUUCUGAGCUGCAUCAGCCUGGCAGAGGCCUGGAAUCAGUGGGUGCCACUGGUGCUCCUUGGCCGGGACCCGGCCGUGGUGCCCCGCAUGGGGGGGACCCUGGGAGCACCCCCGGGGGUGGCACCACAGGGCACCUGUGGCCACCUGUGAGCUCCUGGGCCAGGGGGCACAACAGGGCUGCCCCAGCGAGGGAUCUCCGGAUGGCCCAAAGAGCAGGUGAGGAACGAGUUCUUGGAGAACCGCGGUAAAUCCCGGGCUGUCCGAAUGCCAGCCCGCACCCUGCAGCCUGCCCAGCUCCGG